UACGGAGGGUGCAAGCGUUAAUCGGAAUUACUGGGCGUAAAGGGUGCGUAGGUGGUUUGAUAAGUUAUCUGUAAAAGCCCUGGGCUCAACCUGGGAAGGCCAGAUAAUACUGUUGAACUGGAGUAUGGGAGAAGGUAGUGGAAUUUCCGGUGUAGCGGUGAAAUGCGUAGGGAUCGGAAGGAACACCAGUGGCGAAGGCGGCUACCUGGCCUGAUACUGACGCUGAGGCACGAAAGCGUGGGGAGCAAACAGG
rnacentral:rRNA from 1 species